AGAGUUUGAUCAUGGCUCAGAAUCAACGCUGGCGGCGUGCCUAACACAUGCAAGUCGAACGCGAAAGCCCCGCAAGGGGUAAGUAGAGUGGCAAACGGGUGAGUAACACGUGGGUGACCUGCCUUCGAGUGGGGGAUAACGUCCCGAAAGGGACGCUAAUACCGCAUGACAUCCUGCUUUUGGAAAAGCGGAGAUCAAAGCUGGGGAUCGUAAGACCUGGCGCUCGAAGAGGGGCCCGCGCCUGAUUAGCUAGUUGGUGGGGUAACGGCCUACCAAGGCGACGAUCAGUAUCCGGCCUGAGAGGGCGGACGGACACACUGGGACUGAGACACGGCCCAGACUCCUACGGGAGGCAGCAGUGGGGAAUUGUUCGCAAUGGGCGCAAGCCUGACGACGCAACGCCGCGUGGAGGACGAAGAUCUUCGGGUCGUAAACUCCUGUCGAGUGGGAAGAACGCUUCGGGGGCGAAUAUCCUCCGGAAUUGACGGUACCACUAAAGGAAGCCCCGGCUAACUCCGUGCCAGCAGCCGCGGUA
rnacentral:rRNA from 1 species